UUUGUCAGGUGGUCAUUCAGAAAUGGAUGAAUCACAUUCUGACUGAGAUCCCACUACACCUUCUGUAUGUUUGAUAUGAUAUCCAGAGCUUUGGUUAUGUGUUUCUGUACAUGCUUUGGAUAAGAUUGAUAUGUUUGCAACGUCAAAGACAACGUUUGAGCUUAUGUACGGUAUUUGUUAUUGAUAUGCUCUGAAAUGUUUCAUCCACUGUUGAUAUGUUUCGAAAUGUUCCAUAUGUCGUUGAUAUGCUCCAGAACAUUUCAUACGCCAUUGAUAUGCUCCAAUUCCUUUGUGCUCCAUUUGCUAUGAACUGAUAUGUUCUGAAAUGUCCUAUCUGCCAUUGAUAUGCUUCCAUUACUCUGUGCUCCAUUUGCUAUGAACUGAUAUGUUCUGAAAUGUCCUAUCUGCCAUUGAUAUGUUCCAAUUACUCUAUGCUCCAUUCGGUAUGGAUCAAAUAUGUUUUGAAUGACAUGAUAAGUAUGAUUUGGUAUCUAUUGAGAUGGUAUCCUUGAGAAUUCUUGUAUUCAGCCUUGCAUUAUGGUACCUUACUCGUUUCAAACCGUUCCUUUUGUUCUGAAUAUGCUUUGUCACUUGCUGAGCCGUUUUUGGCUCACUCCAUUGUUAUAUAAAUCUUUCAGGUCAGCUUGUCACUCUUCGAGAUGUUUGAUUUGGGCUGAGGCAGUGGAUAGCUAUUCAGAAUGAUGGGCAAGUCUUGUCGGUUGUUAUGCUAUUGUUGUAUAAGUAUGAUUUGUAUGUAAUGAAAUGUUGUCGAUGAACCGAAAUUGAUAUACUGUGUCAAAGUGUUAGGAGAUCUCUUUUAUUUGGAAUUUUUGAAUGUUAAGUCUAAUUUAUGACGAUAUGAACUUGUGGUGAAUAGUUGGAGUUCUGAUUGUAUAAUUUAUUUAGCUUGUGGAAUUAUAAAUGUUAUUCAUGUUUGUCAAGUUUGCUUGGGUUG
rnacentral:lncRNA from 1 species